GACGGGCCAGUCGAAGAGUGUUAGUGAGAUUUCGACUGGUGGGUGACCUUAGAUUAUGUGCACAGAUGAUUAAUGAGAAAGCACUAGAGCGUAACUUGUGUGCAGAAGGCCGGACGGGUCACAGAGGUGACUCCGGUAGAGUGAUAGUGAUAGAUUUUGAGCUCUAGGUUCAACCGUACAGGCUAUUAGAGGGCAUCCGGUUGAUUACUUUCUUGCACCUGAUAUGAUUAUUGUUGAUGCAUCCAUAUUUAACUGUUGAAUUAGACAUGGCAUGGCAUGAUUGAUAAAGAAAAAUGUUGAGAUAGUAAAAAUGAAGUUUUGAGAAUAUAUAUGUAUAUUUAUAUUUUACAUUCUGGGAAAGUAUACAGGUUUUACGGAGAGGGGUUACAACGUUUUGAGAAAUGUUUGGAUUUGGAAAAGAAUUGUUUUACUGACCCCACUCAAUUUUGGUUUUGCGCCCCUCCAGGUUCAGAAGGAAUCACAAAGGUGUGGUGACUACGAGGAAUUCGACGGUGUUCUGACAGAUUGGACAAAAUUAGGACUCACCUUCGGGGUGUAUCUUAACUUAAAAUUGUAUCUUAAAGCUUCCGUACUGUGGCAAAUGGUUACGUCACUCUCACGUGACGAGCAGCAUGCCCUCCUUCGGGACGGGGUGUGUUUGGUAUGGUUCAGAGCAUGGUUUGCAAUCUUUGGACAUUUUGAGAAGUUUUUUAGUGAAUUCACAGUUAGACGAUAGGGAAAAGUAUUUUAUUCCCUAUUUAGCGGUUUAGGGAAAACUAUUAAUGGUGAUUCAAUCUAUUAUAAAAAGGGACAUUUUGACGGAUUAUCCUCGAAUUUGAAUCACCUGAAAUUGAACCUGAAGGUUGUUUCAUUUGGAAAUUUAUUCAAAGGAAUCUUUUCUGACAAGGGGUCGAGACGUUUUUAAGGGUUUUUGUAUGAAAAAGGAGUGGUUGUCACAGGAAUUUUAAUUGUUUACCGGAGAAAACAGUAUUUGGUGAUGGUAGUAAGCAAAGAGUAGCUAGAUGGUUGAUUGGAUUUUGAGAAGUUUUCAGACUUGCCUGAGAAUCCAGAUAUUGUUGUUUUUGGUGGAGGUGUUAUUUGUUUUGAAGGGGUAUAAGGAAAGUGAAUGGGAAUUAAAAGAAAAGACGAUAAAGUUAAUGAUUCGUCAUAUCAAGGAUAUAUAGAAAGAUUCAGAGCUUCGAAAGAAGUGAAGCUAGAGUUAAUUCUUCCAGCUGAGGUUUUAAUGUCGCUGGUCAGAGUAAAAGUGAUGGAUAUACUGGUAAUCCCAGAUAUUUAAGACAAGGUGUCUCGAGUAAAGGAAAUGUACUUUGUGCAGCAGGUACAAAAUUAACACUUUGGGAAGUGUGAAAUUAAUGAAUGUGUUUAUGUGAACAGAGGGGACACAGAAUUGUGAAUCGUCCCUAGAAUCAGUUGUACCCAACAGUUUUCUAUGACAUCAUAGUGUUGAUUCAGCAGAGUUAUGGAUUUAGUAGUUUGGUCGGAUUGACCGUGAGUACAGAGAGAUUUGAUGAGUUAUAUGUUCAGCCGUACUGACCAUGAGAAGUGGAUUCGAUUGACACAUGAGAAAUUGGUGAGUUAUAGGCUCGGCCGUACCGACCACGCGGAGUGGAUCCGGCCGACGUAUUAUUGAGAUAAGAGUUGAAUCAGCCGUAUUGGUCAUUCUAGUUGACUUCGGCUGAUAUAUUUCUUAUUAUGAUUGUUAUUACCUAGAGAGUAGUAAAUAAAUGUAGUUGAGACGAGUGUAUGUAUUUUGCAUUGAGUGACAAAAUAGUAAUGUUAUAUCUUUGUGAGUGGUUGCCUACUUAUCGAGACAACGAUGAUUUAUCAGUAUUGCGGGCUGCAGACCGUAAUAUUAAUAACUCAUUCGUGGAUUCGUUAAGCAAGCAAACCGGUAGGUUAUUUUAUGUUAGUGUUGUACUUAUUCAGAAUGCUUAGUAGUAAUAGAGUAUGUAUUGUGUCGGUUAAAUUAUUUCCAUUAGAUUGGUUGGUUAUAAUUGUGACAAGACGGAAUGUUACGGGAAACCAGUACUUUCCAUCGAUCUGGAUGAUCAGAGAUUACCUUAAUGAGUGGGCAUGCAAAGUGAAGUGAGUUCAGCCAUUAUUUAUGCUGUGAAAGCAAAGAGAUUGUUUUGAAAGGCUGCCCAAGAAUAUUUAGUUCAUGUGGUACUAAAGGAUGUUGCUCGGAGAAGUGUGAAAAAAAAUAAAUAAAUAAAUAAAAAAUAAAAAAAAAAUGAAAAAGGGGUUAGACUUUUCUUGAUGUCUUCCCUGAAAGUAUACCUGGAUUGCCUUCAGGCAGAGAUAUGAGGUUCACUAUUGAAUUGUUGCCAGGUAUAAAUCUAUGUUAAAGAUUGGUUCAGGAUGAGUUAAGGGAAUUGGAAAUUCAGUUGAAAGAAUUGGUUGAUAAAAGUUUCAUUCAACCUAGUACAACACUUUUGAGGAGCACCAGUUUGUUGGUGAGAAAGAAAAUGGACUUAGAGAUUGUUCAUUGAUUAUAGACAAUGGAGUCGGGUAACGAUUGAGAACCGUUAUCCAUGGUGAUGUACUGAUGUUUAUUUAACCAGCUCAGAAGUAAUUGCGAAGAUUCAAAGAUUGAAUUGAGGUCUGGUUAUUACCAAUUAAAGAUUAUGAGCGACGUUGUUCUUAAGAUUGUUUUAUGAACUAUGGUGAUGCUAUGGAUACUCAUGCUGUUUUAUGAGUUAUUGGAUGAAGUAUUCCAAUAAUGCCUUGAUAAAUAGAUAUUAUUUUCAUUGAAGAUAUUCUGGCAUAUUCUGAGCCAGAGCAGAGCAUGUAAACGUAUUAAGUCGGUGGAACAAAGAUUGGAAGAAUGUCGAUUGUAUGCUAAGUUUAGCAAAUGCGAAUGUUAGAUGAAUCAAGUAGCAUUUCUGGGAUAUGUUAUAUAUUCUUAAGGUAUUCAAGUGAAUCCUUAAAAGAUAGCAGAAAUUGAGAAUUUGGAACAACCACGAGUCGUAAUUGAGAUUUGGAAUUUCUUAACUUACCAGGCUAUCUUGGAUGGUUGUGAAAGAUUUUUCAGUCAUUGCUUUGUCAUUGACGAGACUGUUGAGAAAUGAGGUUAUGUAUGAGUGGGAAGGAAAUUGUGAGCAAAGGAUUCAACAACUGAAGUAUUUCCUCACUCAUGCACGUAUUUUAGUAAUCCCAGAGAAUAGUGGUAAUCAUAAAUUUUUAGUGAUGUUUCUUGAAUGGUAUUGGAUGCAUGUUGAUGCAAAUGUUAGGGUGAUUGCAUACGUUUCACGACAAAUGGAAUCUCAUGAGAUGAAUUACCCUACUGGUGAUUUGGAAGUCACGAUUACCAUCCUUGCUGUGUGAAGUUAUGGAGACAUUAUAUUUUAGUGAGAAUGCAAGAUUUUACAAAUCAAAAGAGUCUCCAAUAUUUGUUUACUCAGAAGGAUUUUGAUAUGAGGCAACAAAGGUGGAUUGAAUUACUUAGUGAUUAUGAUUGUACGAUCAGGGUGAUCGUGAAUUGUUCUAGCUGAAGCACUUGGUGAGAAGACUACAGUAAGAUUAAUAUCUGGCACGUUUGCCAAGAGUAUCAUCUUGUGGAUUGAAAACCAACGGAAGAAAAAUUAAGAAUGGAAGAUCGAGAAGAAGUUAUACUUGUUAAGUAACAAGUUAGUACAUUUACUCCAGUGUUGAGUAACAACCUUUCCCAGACAGUGCAACAUUACUUAUUUGUUUUAUGGAAAAGAGAAUUGGUUUACGGAACUGCUGAGUUUCUUAAGUAUGUUGGUUGUGCAGUUUCCGAAGUAACGCCAUAAGGAUCAUGAAAUGUGUCAUGUGAGUCGGUUUUUGAUGACUUGUGAAUGGAAUGCUUCUGGGUAGAGAAAGAUUCGAUCAGAAGAAUUUUAGUGGGCCCGAAAUUUUGGAUGAGUCUCUUCUAAGAAUAUUCAGGUGAGUAAGUUAACCUGAAAGUAGCCAGGAAUGGCAAAAGAGAUCAACAGAUAGUUAUGCCACUAAUCGAGUAUAUAAGGUAAAUGGUUUUAUAUUUUCGAAGUGUUCACCAUAGAAAAGUAUAAUUCGGGUUGGAAAGGAAGGCAAGUUAAAUCCUAAAUGAAUCGGACUUAGCGUGAUCAUCGAAAGGUUGGUGAAGUUGAUUAUAGAAUUGAAUGGCCUCCAGAGUUGUCUAAGGUACAUAAUGUGUUCCAUGUCUCGAUGCUUCGGCAUUAUGUGUCAGAUCCUUCACAUGUGAUUCCUCCUCAACCAUUGGAAAUUAAUCCGGAUUUGACGUAUGAUGAGGAACCAGUGACUAUACUGGAUUGGAAAGAUAAGACUUUGAGGAAUAAGACCGUAAGCUUGGUAAAAGUAUUGUGGAGAAAUCAUUCAGCUGAAGAAGCUACUUGGGAGACAGAAGAAAUGAUGAGAGAUAUGUAUCCGAGACUAUUUUAUGAGUUUUGAUGUUAUGGUUGGUGACUGGAAUUUCGGGGACGAAAUUCUAUAAGGAGGGGAGAUUGUCACAGCCCGUCCCGAAAUUUUAAUUCCGAUGACGUGAAAUUACAGAAACGCCCUUAAACGGGAUUAAGGUGCGUAAAUUUGGUAUUUGUUUUACCUAAAAACAUCCUAAACUAGGGUUAGAUUUAUUAUUGUAUGUGUUAAUAUUUUGUAUUUGGACUUUAGGUAGGGUCCUACCCCCUAAAUCCCUCCCCAUUUCCCGUGUUCUUGUCUUUCACACUCCCUCUUUCUUCCUCAGCUCUCCCUCAGAAACACUCUCUCUCUCUUACUCUCGAACUCACUUGAACUCACGGCAAACACCAAGCAUAACCACAAUCCUACACCAACGUCCAAUCUAAGAUCACCAUCGUGAUCUUGGGAACUUCACGAGCACGGGGGUAUAAGUUUCAGGUGAGUUUCACUUCGAGAAACCCUAGUUUUUAAAGCACCGUGAUUAUGUACUGUUCAUGAACUUUGAUUUGGUUGUGUUUUAGGCCAAACUAAGAUCACCACGAGUCUUAGGAAGUCCCGAGGAGGCUCGGAGUGCCUCGUUUGAACAAAAUGGAUGUCGGGAUCACUGGUUUCGAGGUUGGCCGAGUUUUGUGAAAUUUGGAAAGGUAUGAUCUCAUUGUUUUUAGACCUUAAAACCAUUCCAACGUGAUAGUAGGUGUUUAGGGCUUCAUUUUGGUAUAAAGUACGAAAAAAAUGGACGAAAAACGAGUGAGAAUAGUUAAAUAGAAAUUUUUCCCAGUUUUCCGGUGACCGGAGUCCGGCGAGAGUCCAUCGGAGAAGAAGCAGGAAUAUUCCGUUAGUUCUAACGGAAUAUUCCUGACGCCGUUAACGGAACGGUUAGGUUUUAACGGAAUAUUCCUGACGGCGUCAAUUGACACCGUCAGUGUGCUUGGCACGUGGCCGCGCGUGGGGGCGCGUAGGUCCGUGCCACGUCAGGCGCGUGGGGGCGCGUAAGGACUCCAAAAAUUAUUUUAAAAAUAUGGGGAUGAUCCUGAGGUUGUGUAGGUCACUGUGGUAUAUUCAUAUACCCAAUUUGAGCAAUAUAUAAGGAGUUAUUAACUAAGAUUUGGGUUAGGCGUUAAAUAACGUCAAAAUGGUUACUUUUGUUUAGGUGAGGUUUAUGCGGGCAUCGGGCAUGGCCAAGGGAUUCUCAGGGACUUACGAGACGUCGAUGUAAUCUGUGAGUGGGCAGUUUUGUUUUCCGUAUAUAUAUAUACUUGACGCUUUCCCAGAAAUUGAAUUAGAAUGAAAUUAUGUUUUAAAUGAAAGGUAUAUAGAAUGAUAUGAAAACGUGAAUUGAAAGAUCAUGCAUAGAAGUAUAUGAAAUAUAUAUGGAAAUGUAAAUUGAAUUGUCAUGCAUGAAAUGAUAUGAAAAGUAUGAUUUGAGAUAUAUGAUGCAUAUGAAUGAAUGUUGCGGCGGACGCACAGGUGAGUAUCAGGUGAGUAUUUAAUUACUGUUAUGAUGAUGUUGAUGUAUAUUGAGCUCAAAUCCUGCACCUUGGUUUAGUGCUUAUAGUAUUCACCGCAUCGCACGCUCGCCUUGGAUCCAAGUAGAUGCUGGUCGCACAGUCCACGCGGAGUGGGUGCGACGGGCCAGUCGAAGAGUGUUAGUGAGAUUUCGACUGGUGGGUGACCUUAGAUUAUGUGCACAGAUGAUUAAUGAGAAAGCACUAGAGCGUAACUUGUGUGCAGAAGGCCGGACGGGUCACAGAGGUGACUCCGGUAGAGUGAUAGUGAUAGAUUUUGAGCUCUAGGUUCAACCGUACAGGCUAUUAGAGGGCCUCCGGUUGAUUACUUUCUUGCACCUGAUAUGAUUAUUGUUGAUGCAUCCAUAUUUAACUGUUGAAUUAGACAUGGCAUGGCAUGAUUGAUAAAGAAAAAUGUUGAGAUAGUAAAAAUGAAGUUUUGAGAAUAUAUAUGUAUAUUUAUAUUUUACAUUCUGGGAAAGUAUACAGGUUUUACGGAGAGGGGUUACAACGUUUUGAGAAAUGUUUGGAUUUGGAAAAGAAUUGUUUUACUGACCCACUCAAUUUUGGUUUUGCGCCCCUCCAGGUUCAGGAAUCACAAAGGUGUGGUGACUACGAGGAAUUCGACGGUGUUCUGACAGAUUGGACAAAAUUAGG
rnacentral:lncRNA from 1 species